CGGGGUGCACCAGGCGCGAAAACUUUACAAUGCCGGCAACGGCGAUAAGGGAACCUCGAGUGCCAGGUUAUAAAUCUGGCUGUCGUGAUGCCUAAAAAGCAUUGCAUAGCAAGGGCCGGGCAAGACCGGUGCCAGCCGCCGCGGUAACACCGGCGGCUCGAGUGGUAACCGUUAUUAUUGGGUCUAAAGGGUCUGUAGCCGGCCGGAUAAGUCUCUUGGGAAAUCCAGCAGCUCAACUGUUGGGCUUCCAGGAGAUACUGUCUGGCUCGAGGCCGGGAGAGGUGAGAGGUACUUCAGGGGUAGGGGUGAAAUCUUGUAAUCCUUGAAGGACCACCAGUGGCGAAGGCGUCUCACCAGAACGGACCUGACGGCAAGGGACGAAAGCUAGGGGCACGAACCGGAUUAGAUACCCGGGUAGUCCUAGCCGUAAACGAUACUCGCUAGGUGUCGGCCACGGUGCGACCGUGGUCGGUGCCGUAGGGAAGCCGUGAAGCGAGCCACCUGGGAAGUACGGCCGCAAGGCUGAAACUUAAAGGAAUUGGCGGGGGAGCAC
rnacentral:rRNA from 1 species